UCGAAGACCUUGUGCGACCCAUAUCGCUUCAUACUGAUCGAAGAGCAAAAGACCUGGUUGGAAUCGCAGUCGUACUGCAGAGAGAAAUACUUGGACCUGGCUACGGUUCAGAGCGAUGAAGACAGAGCCAAAUUAAAGGAGGCAGCAGACGCUGCGAACUUCGACUCUUUUGCCUGGAUUGGUUUCUAUAACGGCGUCCUUACUUGGCGUUGGUCUUAUCAAAAUGAGGUGAUAAGCUAUGUAAUGUGGGAAUCCUGGGAGCCAGACAUGUACCGCACACAGGAGGCCUGUGCAUUUAUAGACAAAAACGAACAAUGGGCUGAUACAACCUGCCUUGAAGAAAAAUACUUUUUUUGUCAAACUGACCAGAACAAAAUCGAAGACAAGUUUAAGUACAUCCAAAUAAACAUGAAGUGGCGUGACGCUCAACUUUACUGCAGAACGAACUACAUAGACCUGGCCACGAUUACAGACGACACGGAGAACAAGGGCCUCGCAGGCAUUAUUUCUGACAAUAACGGUUGGGACGCCUGGAUCGGCUUGUCCAAGAACUUGUGGCUUUGGUCAGACCAGACCAACGUGUCAUGGUCUUUGGUCAAAUGGCAAGAAGGACAGCCGGACAACAUAGGCGGUCAUGAAGAGUGUGCGACUGCCGGUACUGAAGGACAGAUGGCUGACGUCUCAUGCUCAGAACUACAGCUCUUCUACUGCAAAGCCUCUGAUGAUCCACCAGUUAAGAAAAUAAAUCUUGUCAGAGUUGCAGUGAAAUCAGCUGGAUAUCUGAACGAAUAUGCAGUGAUGGCGGCCAUUGAAAAGAAGGUGAAUCAGAUGCUCUCAGAACAAAUGAUGGACACUGGAUCCAACGUAACAUGGCGAGUCCAUCCUGAUGGGAAGAUCUUCCAUCUGCAAGAGAGUGAGACACAAACGACAACAGCACUUGAAGAGAAAGAGCCGAUGCAAUGUUAGACACUCUGAAACGUACAAUGACUUCCAUAAACACUUAUGGAACUUUAGAGGUACAUGUAAUAAAUGAGAUUAAUGUUUAACUACAUCACGUUUAAUGUUAAUGCUUUGAUGCUUUACAUACUGCACAAAUACUUAUGAAUAAAAACUU